GACGUAGGGCGCGAGCGUUGUCCGGAUUUAUUGGGCGUAAAGAGCUCGUAGGCGGCUUGUCGCGUCGUCCGUGAAAACUCACAGCUCAACUGUGAGCUUGCGGUCGAUACGGGCAGGCUAGAGUUCGGUAGGGGAGACUGGAAUUCCUGGUGUAGCGGUGAAAUGCGCAGAUAUCAGGAGGAACACCGGUGGCGAAGGCGAGUCCCUGGACAAUACCUGACACUGAGGCACGAAAAGCUAGGGGGAGCAAACAGG
rnacentral:rRNA from 1 species